AUGGGGCGAUCAAGCCUGGAGGAACUCUCUGCCCCGCCAUGGUUGACGCUCCUGCUCGGCCUUGCAGCCGCAGCCGGCAUGCUUCAAGUUCGCGGUCAGCGCGCCCCUAGCGUCGAAGGUUUCAUAAGCAUCGACUGUGGCCUGGACGAGAAGACCAGCUACGUGGACGUCAUCCAGAUACCGUACACUUCGGACGCCGGCUUCACAGACGCCGGCUCCAACCACAACACCUCCGCCAAGUACUGGACCACGCGCAUGUCCCAAACCCACCGCAACGUCCGCAGCUUCCCCGACACGGUCCGCAGCUGCUACACCCUGCCGUCCCUCGUUCCGGGGUCCAAAUACCUGGUCCGUGCCACGUUCAGGUACGGCGACUACGACGGACUCGACAGCCUCCCUGUCUUCGACCUCUACCUCGGCGUUAACUUCUGGCAGACCGUGAACGUCACUGAAGUCGACAUGGCGGAGAUCGCCGAGGUGAUCGCCGUGAUCCCGGACGACUCGGUGCAGGUUUGCCUGGUGAAUGUCGGCUCCGGGACGCCGUUUAUCUCGGCGCUGGUGCUGAGGCCUCUCGAGAACUCGCUGUAUCCGCCAGCGAACGCGACCCAGGGCCUAGUCCUGAUCGACAGAUACAGCUUCGGCGACACGGGAAAAGUACCUAUUAGUUACCCGGACGAUCCAUACGACCGGAAUUGGCUGCCGUUUAGCUAUCCAGAGGAGUGGUCCGACAUCUCAACAGCGGAGAAGGUAAAGGACAACAUCGGCAAUCUCAGCCUCCACGCGCCGUCAGUCGUGAUGCAAACUGCCAUCACAUCGCGCAAAGACUCCGAUUCAAAGACCAUCCAGUUGGCAUGGGACAUCGAGCCGAACCACGUCUACCCAGUGCCCGGGUGCAUUGCUAUCUUGUAUGCCGCGGAGCUGGAGAUCCUGGCCAGUGAUGAUGUUCGCGAGUAUGAUCUCAUUAUCAACGACAAGAGGACCAAGGUCCCGUACAGGCCCAAAUACCUCAUCGCUGCCGCCCUAUACAACAACGAACCCCACCACGGUUUCAGCCAGUACAGCUUCACUGUCAUCGCCACAGCGAACUCCACACUACCGCCGAUGAUCAAUGCCUUCGAGUUUUUUUCUGUCAUCUCGACUGCCAACGUUGGAACAGACAGUCAGGAUGUUUCUGCCAUCAACAAAAUCAAGGUAAAAUACCAGGUGAAGAAGAAUUGGAUGGGUGACCCAUGUGCUCCGAAGAAUUUUUCAUGGAACGGGUUGACCUGCAGCUAUCCUACCUCUGGGCGUCCAAGAAUCACAAGCAUAAAUAUGUCAAAUGGCGGUUUGAGUGGCGAUAUAUCUUCUUUUUUUGCUGAUAUCAAAGACCUCCAGUAUUUGGAUUUAUCAUACAAUAAAUUAACAGGAUCAAUUCCUAACGCCCUUUCAGAACUACCCUCUCUCGUCGGGCUAGAUUUGAUGGGCAACCAGCUUAAUGGAUCAAUUCCAGCCGGGCUACUCAAGAGAACUCAAGAUGGCUCCCUAGCUGUUAGAUAUGGAAACAAUCCAAACCUUUGUAGCGACAAUGGUUCUUGCCAGACAAAGAAGAACAACUAUAUGCUUGCCGUCUAUAUUGGUGUUCCCAUAUUUGUAGUUCUUGUGAUAGGAGCCCUUGUAGUACUACUGAUGUUCAGAGUGAGAAAGAAGAAAGGAUUGGCAAGGGGAAGCCAUGGACAUGGACGCCAACAAAUGGAGAACCGCCAGUUCACGUACAAACAGCUGAAGGUCAUAACAGACAACUUCAAGGUAGUGCUUGGCCAAGGUGGGUUUGGAACUGUUUAUGACGGCUUCUUGCAUGAUGGUACUCACGUGGCAGUCAAGUUGUUGUCUCAGUCCUCCAAUCAGGGUAUCGAAGAGUUCAUGACAGAGGCUCAAACACUAACAAAGAUUCAUCACAAGAAUCUUGUUUCCUUGAUUGGUUACUGUAAAGAGGAAAAGUAUUUGGCACUUGUCUAUGAGCAUAUGUCUGAAGGAAACCUCGAAGAUAAACUUAGAGGGAAAAACUGCACGGAUGUAUCCUUAACAUGGAGACAAAGGCUCCACAUUGCACUGGAAUCCGCACAAGGACUCGAGUAUCUACACAAGGCAUGCAGCCCUCCCUUUGUGCAUCGUGAUGUGAAGACAUCGAACAUCCUACUAAAUGCAAAUCUUGAGGCCAAAGUUGCCGACUUUGGCUUGAUGAAGGCUUUCAAUCAUGACAAUGAUACCCAUAUAUCCACGGUCCGGGUGAUUGGCACAAGAGGCUACCUAGCACCUGAGUAUGCAACAGCUCUACAACUGAAUGAAAAGAGCGACGUGUAUAGCUUCGGCAUUGUGCUACUAGAGGUGAUCACAGGACACCCAGCCAUCCAACAAUCUGAAGAGGUCGUUCAUAUUGUUCAGUGGGCACGACUACGCCUUACGGGAGGCAACAUCGAGGAAGUGGUGGACACACGCAUGCAAGCUGAUUACAACAUCAACGGUGUGUGGAAGGCUGUGGAUCUCGCGCUGAAGUGCGCAGAGCAUGCUCCGGGGCAGCGUCCCACGAUGACUAAUGUGGUGGCCCAGUUACAACAUUGCCUUGAGCUAGAGCGUGAAGACCACACCAAUGAUAAUAAUGCUAAUAGUGGCUUCUACAUGAAGGACGACAACGGGGACCGUGGUUUGCUUAUGUGA
rnacentral:rRNA from 1 species